GAUGAACGCUGGCGGCGUGCCUAAUACAUGCAAGUCGAGCGAACAGACGAGGAGCUUGCUCCUCUGACGUUAGCGGCGGACGGGUGAGUAACACGUGGAUAACCUACCUAUAAGACUGGGAUAACUUCGGGAAACCGGAGCUAAUACCGGAUAAUAUAUUGAACCGCAUGGUUCAAUAGUGAAAGACGGUUUUGCUGUCACUUAUAGAUGGAUCCGCGCCGCAUUAGCUAGUUGGUAAGGUAACGGCUUACCAAGGCGACGAUGCGUAGCCGACCUGAGAGGGUGAUCGGCCACACUGGAACUGAGACACGGUCCAGACUCCUACGGGAGGCAGCAGUAGGGAAUCUUCCGCAAUGGGCGAAAGCCUGACGGAGCAACGCCGCGUGAGUGAUGAAGGUCUUCGGAUCGUAAAACUCUGUUAUUAGGGAAGAACAAAUGUGUAAGUAACUAUGCACGUCUUGACGGUACCUAACCAGAAAGCCACGGCUAACUACGUG
rnacentral:rRNA from 1 species